rnacentral:rRNA from 1 species
AUUGAACGCUGGCGGCAGGCCUAACACAUGCAAGUCGAGCGAGCGGCGGACGGGUGAGUAAUGUAUGGGGACUGCCCGAUAGCGGGGGAUAACUACUGGAAACGGUGGCUAAUACCGCAUACUAUCGGCUAACCCAUAUUGGAUUAGCUAGUAGGUGGGGUAAAGGCUCACCUAGGCGACGAUCUCUAGCUGGUCUGAGAGGAUGAUCAUCCAAAAUGGGACUGAGACACGGCCCAGACUCCAAGGGAGGCAGCAGUGGGGAAGAUGGCACAAGGGGCGCAAGCCUGAGGCAGCCAUGCCGCGUGUAUGAAGAAGGCCUGAGGGUUGGAAAGUACUUUCAGCGGGGAGGCGUUACCCGCAGAAGAAGCACCGGCUAACUCCGUGCCAGCAGCCGCGGUAAUUC